GGCAUGGUAGCUCAGUUGGUAGAGCAGGCGACUCAUAACCGCCAGGUCGCGGGUCCGAUUCCCGCCUGUGCCA
rnacentral:tRNA from 1 species